AGGUUGUGUGUAUCAACACUGCAGUGGUGUCAACGAAAUAUCUCAACAGCUUCUAUACCACUCUUCUUCAGAUUAACACAGGAUCUUAGCCUCAACUCCAUCCACAUCUUCAACUCCAUCCCGACUGUCAACUCCAUCCAGAGCAUCAACCUCAAGCUGAUGUUCAUCCCCAGACUCCCCUGAUAAAGAACUUCUUACUUCAACAUCACCUCAGAAACAGCAUCACUGCUAUCACUCAGGAGUUUUUUUUUUUUUUUGAUGCCAUUGAGCAAGAUAA
rnacentral:lncRNA from 1 species